UGUCAGUGCUGUUUUUUUGCAGACUCGCUGCGUGAGGGGAAUAAAAAACGGUGGGAAAUCCGCUUUAAUGUCAAGGCCACCCCCUCCUGCAGCAGGACAGAAUGGCAACAAGAAGGGCCUAGAAUCAUUCCCGUAAUAAAGCCCUAAAAUGAAUCCAUUUGCGUAGAAUGAAUUGUCUGUGGAAGAACGAGAAACAUAAUUUCAAUUUAUAAUAAAUUACAA